rnacentral:rRNA from 1 species
GGUGAUCAUAGUAACUUUUCGAAUCGCAUGGCCUUGUGCUGGCGAUGUUUCAUUCAAAUUUCUGCCCUAUCAACCUUCGAUGGUAGGAUAGAGGCUACCGAUGGUGUUAACGGGUAACGGGGAAUUAGGGUUCGAUUCCGGAGAGGGAGCCUGAGAAACGGCUACCACAUCCAAGGAAGGCAGCAGGCGCGCAAAUUACCCAAUCCCGAUACGGGGAGGUAGUGACAAUAAAUAACAAUACAGGGCUUUCUAGUCUUGUAAUUGGAAUGAGUACAAUUUAAAUCCCUUAACGAGGAACAAUUGGAGGGCAAGUCUGGUGCCAGCAGCCGCGGUAAUUCCAGCUCCAAUAGCGUAUAUUAAAGUUGUUGCAGUUAAAAAGCUCGUAGUUGGACUUCGAAUGUGGUUGGGCGGUCCGCCUCCGGGUGUGUACUGUCUGGCUGUGUUCUCUUUCUUGGUGAGCCGGUAUGCCCCUUACUGGGUGUGUUGGGGAACC